rnacentral:rRNA from 1 species
AUUGAACGCUGGCGGCAUGCCUUACACAUGCAAGUCGAACGGCAGCGGACCUUCGGGUGCCGGCGAGUGGCGAACGGGUGAGUAAAGUAUCGGAACGUACCUUUCAGUGGGGGAUAACGUAGCGAAAGUUACGCUAAUACCGCAUAUUCUCUGAGGAGGAAAGCAGGGGACCUUCGGGCCUUGCGCUGAUGGAGCGGCCGAUAUCAGAUUAGCGAGUUGGUGGGGUAAAGGCCUACCAAGGCGACGAUCUGUAGCGGGUCUGAGAGGAUGAUCCGCCACACUGGGACUGAGACACGGCCCAGACUCCGACGGGGGGCAGCAGUGGGGAAUUUUGGACAAUGGGCGAAAGCCUGAUCCAGCCAUGCCGCGUGAGUGAAGAAGGCCUUCGGGUUGUAAAGCUCUUUCGGCCGGGAAGAAAUCGUGUGGGCUAAUACCCUGCAUGGAUGACGGUACCGGAAUAAGAAGCACCGGCUAACUACGUGCCAGCCGCCGCAGUAACAC